CGUCAUAAACUCACAAAGUUUGACUUUUCACUUUGCUGUCAGUGAACAUGUACAUAAGUGAAAAAGAAAUAGUUUUCGUAACACUAUGUUGUUGUAUUGGAUAUUUUCUUUUCCGAGGGAGAUUUUGAAGCCCUAAACUGGGAAAAUCCACGUUUUGUCAAAUUUUUUUAUCCUGUGUGACAGAAUCCCAGUGUCCAGAAAUGUUAAUUCAAAACAUAAAAUUCGUUAUGAAGAAAAAUAUUUAAAAUUUACUUUUGCUGUGUACAAUGGGUUGAAGUGUUCAGAAUAAAGAGAAGAGUUAACACGU